rnacentral:rRNA from 1 species
AACGAACGCUGGCGGCAGGCCUAACACAUGCAAGUCGAGCGCCCCGCAAGGGGAGCGGCGGACGGGUGAGUAACGCGUGGGAACGUACCCUUUGCUACGGAAUAGCCUCGGGAAACUGGGAGUAAUACCGUAUGUGCCCUUCGGGGGAAAGAUUUAUCGGCAAAGGAUCGGCCCGCGUUGGAUUAGGUAGUUGGUGGGGUAAUGGCCUACCAAGCCGACGAUCCAUAGCUGGUUUGAGAGGAUGAUCAGCCACACUGGGACUGAGACACGGCCCAGACUCCUACGGGAGGCAGCAGUGGGGAAUCUUAGACAAUGGGCGCAAGCCUGAUCUAGCCAUGCCGCGUGAGCGACGAAGGCCUUAGGGUUGUAACGCUCUUUCAGUGGGGAAGAUAAUGACUGUACCCACAGAAGAAGCCCGGCUAACUCCGUG